UAUUUUUAUCAGUGGGAACACUUACAUCUAUUAGACUACAAGUAUUUCUUCCCUGACUUUAAUGACUAUGUCUGGUCGAUUAUCCUGAAUCGCUUUGUCGGUGAUGAUUAGAAAAUCCCAAGGGAUAAUGACAUUUGAAAUAUCAGACACUGGCUCACGAUAAUGUACAUACCAGUAAGCAGGAGUGUUGAUUUUGUGUUUAAAUAUUUUCCAAUGUAAAAAUGCUCCUAUCCUAUCGUGGUAAUUUUUGUAUUCGUUUGGUGUCAGCGCAGGACAUUUGAUACAUUGUUUCGUCAAAUGUGCCGCAGAAUCUGCAUUUAUGGUCAGAACUAUUUUGAAGAAGGUUAGCCUGAUAGCUUUUGGUUAGCAAGCUUUGGUCUUGUGUCGUUAAUAUGAAACCUUUAGUCGCUGCUUUCAGUCCUGAGCUUUUCAACCACAGAUGGGUUGUUGCCUGGUCUACAUCAGCAUUUCGGUUUCGACGUAUAUACCGUCCUGAGCUUCGUAGCCAUUGAUGCGUGCGUUUCUGGUCGACAUCAGCUUGUUUGCUACGAGCCACAUACUUGCCAUGCAGAGGUUUCUCUUCCCAUCUGCUAGCUAAUUUUUCAUGUGCUUUUGUCUUUGCAAUUAAUUUUAUUUUCUUUGCAGCAGCAGUUGGCGCAUUUCCUUCAACUUGAUCAAGCUGGUGAGUAUUUAAGAGAUCAGUAGCAAUUUUUUUGCUCUCUUUCAGAAUAGAGUGAAGUUUUUUUCGGUCUUUCAUGUUUUUCAACAUGUUUCAGCAUCCAAUCGUUGGUUGUUUCAAGGUAUUUGGCCAGUCCGAUUGUGAUGGUUUUGUACGUAAGUUCAAGCUGGAUAAAGCCUCGAUCUCCCUGAGCUCUGGGAAGGUAAAGACGAUCCACGUCUGCCUUUGGAUGGUGCAUCUUAUUAAAAGUCAGUAACAGGCUUUUCGUCACUCACUAAUAUCAGCAAAAUGAAAAGAAGCAAGAUACCACGUAAAUAUUUAAUAAUCUUGGUAAAAGUGCUGACUUCGCAAAAUAACAUUUUCAAUUCUCACGAUGAAGUAAAAUAAAUAUCAUAAAAAUAA